rnacentral:rRNA from 1 species
CAGAGGUCUCAAGCGUUGUUCGGAUUCAUUGGGCGUAAAGGGUGCGUAGGCGGCGCGGUAAGUCGGGUGUGAAAUCUUGGAGCUUAACUCCGAAACUGCAUUCGAUACUGCCGUGCUUGAGGACUGGAGAGGAGACUGGAAUUUACGGUGUAGCGGUGAAAUGCGUAGAUAUCGUAAGGAAGACCAGUGGCGAAGGCGGGUCUCUGGACAGUUCCUGACGCUGAGGCACGAAGGCCAGGGGAGCAAACGGG